rnacentral:tRNA from 1 species
GUUUCUAAAGGAAAUAGCUAUCCGAUGAUUUUAGGUGUCAACAUUUUCUGGCGCAAAUCCAGAUAGAAACU